UCACGAGUUGCCGACAAUUAAAGAUAAGAUUAGGAAAGGAAGAAAAAAAAACUUGCCUUCAUCCACAACUACAAGCCCAUCACUUUCGCCUGACCGUGAUCGAUUAAACUAUGUUUACUACUGCUGGCCUCUCGUCAUCACCCUCCAUCUGGGCUUAUAUCUCUCGUUCACGUUGUCCACGUCUCCGGGAAUGCCCUGGGGAUGUGGGCUCUGGAAUCUUUGCAGGUGAAGCCAACGAAAUCAUCGUUCAAACAGUAAAUGCACAACAGUGAAGGCUUGACAUUUGAGCUCUGAGGAGGAAGAGAAUAAUAUUAGAGAGAGAUGAGUGGGAGCGGGACCCAAGGGGUGGCGAAGGCAGGGAACAUGGGGGGAAGCGGGGUGCCGCAGAAGGGGAAGGAGAGGGCGAGCUCGUUCCAGGUGCCGUCGCACCGCCCCCGCGGCGGCGGCGGCAGGGCCGACAGCGAGGCCAUGCCGGAGUGGAAGCUCAAAUUGCUCUGCACCGAGCACGGUGUGCCGCCCACCAUGAGAGCAACCUUACAUCUGGGUGGUUGCUUCUGAAAAACAAAGAUUACGGGCGGAUCUACGCACGCUAUUUCUAGUUUCUACGGAGAUGGUUUGAUGGAUAUAAUAUUUGUAUGGAAAGCUUUUGUAUGGUUUGAUGAAUUUUUAUGUUUUAUGUUUCUAUUUCUAUUUAAUGUAUUUAUGUUUGUAUAGCUUAAUCUCGAUCCCUCUCUUUCAUGUGGAAUUAGAGUGGAGUUUAUGUAAAUGUUUAUGAUCAUCUUAUUUUAUCAUAUGAGGGGUUUGUAAAAUUCCUUUUGGAAGGACCAGAAAAAUUAUUAUGAAGCAAGAGUCUAUCAGAUCAAAA